UCUUCUUAACUACCUUUUGCUAACCUAUUCUCUCCUUUUCUCUCUUCUUUUUUUUUGUAGCUCAUCCACCACUUUGACCAUUUUUCGGAGAUAGUCUAUGAAGCUCGAUAAAUUUUGAGGGAGGUCGAGGAAAAGGUCGCUCAGGCCACCCGGAGGGCAGAUGAUGCCCAGCUGCACCAGCUGAAGGCCAAGGAGGGGAACACAUCACUGAAGGAAGAGGUAAAGUGACUGGAGUCUAGAUUUUCCAAAUCUUGGGCCGACACUA
rnacentral:lncRNA from 1 species